UCUGCUUGACUAGCUGAGAGGAGGUGCAUGGCCGUCGUCAGUUCGUACUGUGAAGCAUCCUGUUAAGUCAGGCAACGAGCGAGACCCACGCCAACAGUUGCCAGCAUGUCCUCCGGGAUGAUGGGGACACUGUUGGGACCGCCUCUGCUAAAGAGGAGGAAGGAAUGGGCAACGGUAGGUCAGCAUGCCCCGAAUUAUCCGGGCUACACGCGGGCUACAAUGGUCAGGACAAUGGGUAUCGACACCGAGAGGUGGAGGCAAUCUCCUAAACCUGUCCUUAGUUCGGAUUGUGGGCUGCAACUCGCCCACAUGAAGCUGGAAUCCGUAGUAAUCGCGUUUCAAAAUAGCGCGGUGAAUAUGUCCCUGCUCCUU
rnacentral:rRNA from 1 species